ACGAACGCUGGGGCGUGCUUAACACAUGCAAGUCGAACGGAAAGGCCCUGCUUUUGUGGGGUGCUCGAGUGGCGAACGGGUGAGUAACACGUGAGUAACCUGCCCUUGACUUUGGGAUAACUUCAGGAAACUGGGGCUAAUACCGGAUAGGAGCUCCUGCUGCAUGGUGGGGGUUGGAAAGUUUCGGCGGUUGGGGAUGGACUCGCGGCUUAUCAGCUUGUUGGUGGGGUAGUGGCUUACCAAGGCUUUGACGGGUAGCCGGCCUGAGAGGGUGACCGGCCACAUUGGGACUGAGAUACGGCCCAGACUCCUACGGGAGGCAGCAGUGGGGAAUAUUGCACAAUGGGCGGAAGCCUGAUGCAGCAACGCCGCGUGCGGGAUGACGGCCUUCGGGUUGUAAACCGCUUUCGCCUGUGACGAAGCGUGAGUGACGGUAAUGGGUAAAGAAGCACCGGCUAACUACGUG
rnacentral:rRNA from 1 species